AGUGAACGCUGGCGGUAGGCCUAACACAUGCAAGUCGAACGGCAGCACAGUAAGAGCUUGCUCUUACGGGUGGCGAGUGGCGGACGGGUGAGGAAUACAUCGGAAUCUACUUUUUCGUGGGGGAUAACGUAGGGAAACUUACGCUAAUACCGCAUACGACCUACGGGUGAAAGCAGGGGAUCUUCGGACCUUGCGCGAUUGAAUGAGCCGAUGUCGGAUUAGCUAGUUGGCGGGGUAAAGGCCCACCAAGGCGACGAUCCGUAGCUGGUCUGAGAGGAUGAUCAGCCACACUGGAACUGAGACACGGGCCAGACUCCUACGGGAGGCAGCAGUGGGGAAUAUUGGACAAUGGGCGCAAGCCUGAUCCAGCCAUACCGCGUGGGUGAAGAAGGCCUUCGGGCUGUAAAGCCCUUUUGUUGGGAAAGAAAAGCAGCAGGUUAAUACCCCGCUGUUCUGACGGUACCCAAAGAAUAAGCACCGGCUAACUUCGU
rnacentral:rRNA from 1 species